rnacentral:lncRNA from 1 species
CCUGGACCAAGUGCCUGGCAUAGAUGUCAUCUGCACAUGCUCGUCCCUGUUCACUGUUCACAUUCUAGAUGUGAGUUGGCACUGCUACAUAAAGAGGAAGGUAUUCAAAUCAAAAAAGGUUUGGAGAAACUGGUUGAAUCUCAGAGGAACUAGUGAAAAUGACUUAAGGUUUAGCAAACUGGUAUUCUGGAGAAAAUUGAAGGCUCACCAGAUCUAUGAGUAGGUUAACUGUGAGGGUGAUUUGGGGCAUGAAAAAUCAUCCUUGCUUCCAAACAUUUAGCCUGUCGACCUGAGCCAGUGCUUCCACUUCCUACUCUUGGAGAUGCUUCCUCUAGAAGAUCCCUGAAAAAAAUAUACAUUUAGCUUAAAUUAAAAAAAAAAAAAAACCACAAAACUACUGGUAUUCAUCUUCCUAGAGAUGAUGACCAACACUUGCUAUUUUCAACAAGUACAGGAAGGAAGACACAGACAGAAUAAUGUACACUCAGCCUUCUGCAUCUGUGGAUCAAACAACUACAGAUCAAUCUGUACUGAGCACAUACAGACAACAUUAUUGUCAUUCUUUCUAACAUAAUAUAACAGCUAUUUAUAUAGCAUUUCCAUUGGAAUAAUUAUUUUAAGAAAUCUAGAAAUGAUUUAAGGUAAAAGGGAGAAUGUGGAUAGGUUAUAGGUAAAUACUAUGCCAUUUUAUAUAAGGGACUUGAGAAUCCUCAUAUUUUGGUGUCUAUGGAAAGUCUUGGCACCAGUCCCUUGUAGAAACUGAGGGAUGAUUUCAUUUAAGAGUCUUAUCUAAGAAUCUAGAUCUUUCAAUAACUUGCAGUAUGAACUUGGGCAAAUCACUUGCUAUCUGAACCAUGAUUUUCCCUCUGUUAGACAAGGAAAAAAUGAUAUCUAUUUUGCUUACUUCAUAAAAUUAUUAUGACAUCAAUUUGAAAGUUAUAGUGAAAUGCUCUGAAAGAAUUAGAUACAUACAAAAAUUAGCUCUUUCAUAUUUUAGAAAAGUCACAUGAUAUUCUGGAAAAAAACCUAAAAGAUAACAAACCUAGGUUCAAAUCCCAACUAUGCUGCCUGGUAAUUGAAAAUUGGGCAGGGUCAAUUUUUAGUUCCUUAACAUUGGAAAAUUCUGGAAGUCAUUUCAGAAACACAGAAUUGUUUGAAGGCCUAAAAAGAGCUAACAUCCACAUGGCCUCUGACAAAGAAUAAAUAACUGUUUGCUUUACUCUCCUCUGCCCUUCCACAAUGACUGCACUCAGGCAGGAGGUACACCUGGUCACUGACCAAGGGUGACAUGAUGGGAUGGUUAAUGACAGACGCUAUGGAAUCUUCCACCCCUGAGAUCAUCUGAAGUGUAUAUCCACAGUCUGCCCGGCGAAUUUUUAUGGUUCUUUUUGGAAUAUCAUUU